rnacentral:rRNA from 1 species
GACGAACGCUGGCGGCGUGCUUAACACAUGCAAGUCGAACGGCAACGCACUGCUUUCGUGGUGUGCUCGAGUGGCGAACGGGUGCGUAACACGUGAGUAACCUGCCCUUGAUUUUCGGAUAGCUUCAGGAAACUGGGGUUACUCCCGGAUAGGAGCUCCUGCUGCAUGGUGGGGGUGGGAAAGUUUCGGCGGGUGGGGUUGGACUGGCGGCUUAUCAGCUUGCUGGUGGGCUAGUGGCUUACCCAGGCAUAGACCGGUAGCCAGCCUGAGAGGGGGACCGGCCACAUGGGGACUAAGAUACGGCGCAGUCUGCUACGGGAGGCAGCAGGGGCGAGUAUUGCACAGUGGGACGAAGCGUGAGGCAACAGCGCUCCGGGCGGGAUGACGGCCUGUGGGGAGUAAACCGCUGUCGCCUGAGACGCAGCGGGAGUGACGGUAAUGGAUAAAGAAGCACCGGCUAACUUCGUG